rnacentral:rRNA from 1 species
GACGAACGCUGGCGGCGUGCUUAACACAUGCAAGUCGAACGGAAAGGCCCUGCCUUUGUGCGCUCCUCGACGGGCGAACGGGUAAGCAACACGUGAGUAACCUACCAUUGACUUUGGGAUAACUUCAUGAAACUUGGGCUAAUACCGGAUAGGAGCUCCCGCUGCAUGGUGGGGGCUGGAUAGUUUAGACGGUUGGGGAUGGACUCGCGGCCUAUCGGCUUGUUGGUGGGGUAGUGGCUUACCAAGGCCUGGACGGGUAGCCGGCCUGGGAGGGUGACCGGCCACAUUACGCCUGAGCUACGGCCCAGACUCGUACGGGAGGCAGCAGUGGAGAAUAUUGCACAAUGGGCGGGAGCCUGGUGUGGUCAAGCCGCGUGCGGGAUGACAGGCUUCGGGUUGUGAUCCGCUUUCGCCUGUGACGAGGCGUGAGUGACGGUAACGGGUGAAGAAGCACCGGCUAACUACGUG